UACAGAGGGUGCUAGCGUUGUUCGGAAUUAUUGGGCGUAAAGGGCGCGUAGGCGGUUUCGCAUGUCCGAUGUGAAAGCCCACCUCUUAAAGGUGGAAUUGCAUCGGAAACUGCGAGACUUGAGUGCCGGAGAGGGUGGUGGAAUUCCUGGUGUAGAGGUGAAAUUCGUAGAUAUCAGGAGGAACACCGGUGGCGAAGGCGGCCACCUGGACGGUAACUGACGCUGAGGCGCGAAAGCGUGGGGAGCAAACAGG
rnacentral:rRNA from 1 species